GAUGAAUGCUGGCGGCGUGCCUAACACAUGCAAGUCGAGCGGCAGCGAGUUUUACACUGAAUUCUGGAAGCUUCUGAGUAGUACAGAAGAUUUAUUCAAGAGUUUUGUGUAAAGUGUCGGCGAGCGGCGGACGGCUGAGUAACGCGUAGGAAUUUGCCCCAAAGUGAGGAAUAACUGCCCGACAGGGUAGCUAAUGCCGCAUAUGGUCUUCGGAUUAAAGCCUGCGGGCGCUUUGGGAGAAGCCUGCGUUGGAUUAGGUAGUUGGUCGGGUAAUGGCCUACCAGGCCGACGAUCCAUAGCUGGACUGAGUGGACGAUCAGCCAGGCUGGAACUGACACACGGUCCAGCCUCCUACGGAAGGCGGCAGUGAGGAACCUUCCACGCUGGGCGAAAGCCUGAGGGAUCAACGCCGCGUGAAGGAUGACGGCCUUCGGGUUGCAACCUUCUUUUAUGAGGGAAGAAUGUCACGGUCUCUCAUGAAUGCGCCCCCGCUCUCUACG
rnacentral:rRNA from 1 species